UACGGGGGGGGCGAAGCGUUGUUCGGAAUUACUGGGCGUAAAGGGCUCGUAGGCGGCCAACUAAGUCAGACGUGAAAUCCCUCGGCUUAACCGGGGAACUGCGUCUGAUACUGGAUGGCUUGAGGUUGGGAGAGGGAUGCGGAAUUCCAGGUGUAGCGGUGAAAUGCGUAGAUAUCUGGAGGAACACCGGUGGCGAAGGCGGCAUCCUGGACCAAUUCUGACGCUGAGGAGCGAAAGCCAGGGGAGCAAACGGG
rnacentral:rRNA from 1 species